GACGUAGGGCGCGAGCGUUGUCCGGAUUUAUUGGGCGUAAAGAGCUCGUAGGCGGCUUGUCGCGUCGACCGUGAAACCUCACAGCUCAACUGUGAGCCUGCGGUCGAUACGGGCAGGCUAGAGUUCGGUAGGGGAGACUGGAAUUCCAGGUGUAGCGGUGAAAUGCGUAGAUAUCUGGAGGAACACCGGUGGCGAAGGCGGCAUCCUGGACCAACACUGACACUGAUGAGCGAAAGCCAGGGGAGCAAACGGG
rnacentral:rRNA from 1 species